CCGUUUACCCGCCGGUUGGGGCGCUGGCUCCUUCCCGCUCUGCUUGGCUCCCGCGCCGCGCCAGCCCGCACCUGCUAGGGCCAUGGCCGGCCGGGCGCCCGGACGCAGGCUGCGAGCUGGGGUGCCCGCGGCUCAGACAAGGCCGGCCUGCCUGCCCUCUGCAAGGGCGCUCAGGCCCGCGGGGACGCGCUGGGCCGAGCAGCGAAAACCUGACCAUCUCCGGAGGGAUUACGGUUUCUCAAGGAAGGCCAUCAUGUGGCAGUGCUCUAAGGCAAGGUCCCAAGCACCUCUCCUGAGUUCACUUGCAAGGGUGUGUCUCCCGGGCCAGGCGCUGCCCUGGACUCCAGGCACCUGACCGGGAGGGCGUCCUCCAACAGCAAAAGAGAGCCGAUCAAUAAUCACACAUGGAACCGUGAAACGACAGCAGUGAUAAGCCAAAGGGUGCUGCCAGGAUCUGGAAUGCCGGUCAGGAGGAACUAGACCGGUCUAGUUCGGCUGCCCCCUAGUUCGGCUGCCCCGGGAUCAGAAUUAAUGAGGGAGGAGGAGGGCCCCGCACGUGCGCAUCACCUGGGCUCCCCAGAAGAUGCAGGAGACCUUUAUAAGCUGUGUUACAACACCCCCGGAAGGCUUUCAAGAUGCCCUGGGAUCCCAGGGUCCCAUCGUUAGGCAACACUCGAUUGUUUUUCAAAUGAUAAUGUCCUCGAUUUCCUCCUCCAAAUCUGUUCUGGACAUAUUUGUACCUGAGUUCUGUGUGGCUCUUACCGCUAAAUCCGACUCUAAAAUCUUAGCAAAGAGUGCCAUCUACUGGUGGCGUCAUGACGGCGCCGUUUGUCCUACAGAUCCAAGGCCACUCACUGCUCCACCAACCGCGGUCUUUUCAGCGCCAACCAGUCAGCGCUAGUUUCUAAUUUAUUAAAAGCUGUGUCCUUGUUUCUCACGAGGGCUGGUGGGGAGAAUAUCUAGAGCAUUUCUACAGAGGAAAGCUCUCAGGAGUUUCUGCCAAAAGCCUUAUAUACCCUCUACCUAGUAAUCCCACUUCUGGGAAUUUCUCUAAGGAAGUUAAGGAGUGAGCUGUAUUUUGGCUACAUGGUUGUUUAUUAUAGUUUGAAAACAUAAUGGCCAAUACUGGGAAAUAAACCACACAGCCAACAGA